rnacentral:rRNA from 1 species
UACGUAGGGGGCAAGCGUUGUCCGGAUUUAUUGGGCGUAAAGAGCGUGUAGGCGGCUUUACAGGUCCGUUGUGAAAACUCGAGGCUCAACCUCGAGACGCCGGUGGAAACCGUAAAGCUAGAGUCCGGAAGAGGAGAGUGGAAUUCCUGGUGUAGCGGUGAAAUGCGCAGAUAUCAGGAGGAACACCGGUGGCGAAGGCGGUUCUCUGGGCCUUACCUGACGCUGAGGAGCGAAAGCGUGGGGAGCAAACAGG